GGGAUAUUUACAUUAAGUUAUAUGUUUACACUCCACGGAGAAUUUAGCAAUACAAUCUGAAAAGUUAUUUCAUUAACUAACCCUGUGAUGUGACCUUUACCCAGCGUUCGGGAGACACAGGAGAAGGAAAAAGAGCAUUUGGAAAAUUAAAGCAAUUCAGGAUCCACCUGAGUCCUGUUUACAAUGGCUAAAACAUCAAAGGCUUAUUCACUAAAUAGCGCAUCGACGCAGG